GGAGGGUGCAAGCGUUAUCCGGAUUUAUUGGGUUUAAAGGGUCCGUAGGCGGACUCGUAAGUCAGUGGUGAAAUCUCACAGCUCAACUGUGAAACUGCCAUUGAUACUGCGGGUCUUGAGUAAGGUAGAAGUGGCUGGAAUAAGUAGUGUAGCGGUGAAAUGCAUAGAUAUUACUUAGAACACCAAUUGCGAAGGCAGGUCACUAUGUCUUAACUGACGCUGAUGGACGAAAGCGUGGGGGAGCGAACAGGAUUAGAUACCCUGGUAGUCCACGCCGUAAACGAUGCUAACUCGUUUUUGGGUCUUCGGAUUCAGAGACUAAGCGAAAGUGAUAAGUUAGCCACCUGGGGAGUACGUUCGCAAGAAUG
rnacentral:rRNA from 1 species